rnacentral:rRNA from 1 species
AACGAACGCUGGCGGCAGGCUUAACACAUGCAAGUCGAACGCACCGCAAGGUGAGUGGCGCACGGGUGAGUAACACGUGGGAAUGUAUCCUUUGGUUCGGAAUAACGUCUGGAAACGGACGCUAAUACCGGAUGAGCCCUUAGGGGGAAAGAUUUAUCGCCGAAGGAGCAGCCCGCGUCUGAUUAGGUAGUUGGUGGGGUAAAGGCCUACCAAGCCGACGAUCAGUAGCUGGUCUGAGAGGAUGAUCAGCCACACUGGGACUGAGACACGGCCCAGACUCCUACGGGAGGCAGCAGUGGGGAAUAUUGGACAAUGGGCGCAAGCCUGAUCCAGCCAUGCCGCGUGAGUGAUGAAGGCCUUCGGGUUGUAAAGCUCUUUCGCACACGACGAUGAUGACGGUAGUGUGAGAAGAAGCCCCGGCUAACUUCGUGCCAGCAGCCGCAGUAACAC